rnacentral:lncRNA from 1 species
GCGGGGGCCGGCCCUGGCCGCUCCGCCUAUUGGGACUGGGGGGCCUGGGCCAGCCGUCGGCGCGGUGAUAAUGGGGCGCUGCCGUCUGGAGCCCCACGGCCACUGAAACCGCAGUGACACGACAUCGGUGGAAGGGACAGAGCAUUUCCAGGAGCAUCUACGCAGUCCAUGGCACCACGGGACUGGGUUGUAGGCACAGUUGGAAGGCGGCUUGGCAGCUUAAAACCCGGUGCCGUGCACCCGCUGGUCCAGUGCGGGUUUUAUAAAUGACGGAAACACAGCGGUAGUGAGCAAGCAGCGAACGGCUCCCAGAGCUCUGACGCCUCGGGGUAUCCCCGAUGCAGGGGCCGAACCGCUGUCUGAGGAGGGGCACCUGCCCCAGCCCAGCCAGGAGCCGGGGUUCGUUUCACCCCUGUUCGCACACACGCGCCAGCCCUACAUCUCCCUUACACCAGCGUCGAGGUGCUUCCGAGCCCAACUCACCGCUCCCCGAGCAGCAAGGCCCCACAUCGCUUCCCCGAAAGCUCCCGGCGCUUCCCGACCCCCCCGUGGCCCCGAGCCCCCGGCAUCCGAAAGGUGCCCGGUUCCCCUGCACCAUCGCACACCGCAAGCCGAACUCCGCCGAGCUGCCCCGAGCCCUCCGCCCCCGCCGCACGCAGCGCGGAGCCUCCCCGGGCUCACAGAGGAGCCGGGAGGACACCGCGGAGCUCCCGACCCCGCGGCUGCUGAGGGAGCAGAGCGGCGUGCGGGAUCCCGGGCGCAGAUGUGAAAGUUGCUGUGGCUGA